rnacentral:rRNA from 1 species
AGAGACAGCAGCAGCCACGGUAAUACGAAGGGGGCUAGCGUUGUUCGGAAUUACUGGGCGUAAAGCGCACGUAGGCGGAUAUUUAAGUCAGGGGUGAAAUCCCGCAGCUCAACUGCGGAACUGCCUUUGAUACUGGGUAUCUUGAGUAUGGAAGAGGUUAGUGGAAUUGCGAGUGUAGAGGUGAAAUUCGUAGAUAUUCGCAGGAACACCAGUGGCGAAGGCGGCUAACUGGUCCAUAACUGACGCUGAGGUGCGAAAGCGUGGGGAGCAAACAGGAUUAGAUACCCGAGUAGUCCCUGUCUCUUAUAC